AUGGCAGCUAUAAAGGCAGACGCUCGGCAAAGCACUCUUCCUAAAACUACCCACUCCCUUCAUCUCCUUUGCAGCAAAGCCUCUUUAACUCGUCCUCCUCUACUGUUCUCGAUCGCUUCAGGAAGACACACCAGUAAUCCCAUCAUGAGCUACCAGCAGGGCUACCCGCAGCAGGGCGCCAGCGCCACGGCCUACCCUCAGCAGCAGCAGGCCUACGUAGCGCCGCCGCCGGCCGGCUACCCGCAGCGGGACCAGCAGUAUCCUGACGCCGGCGCCGCCGACACCACCACGAGCCGCGGCGGACACGGACACCACCACGGCGGCGGCUUCUGGAGAGGCUGCUGCGCCGCGCUGUGCUGCUGCUGCCUCCUCGACGCCUGCUUCUGA
rnacentral:rRNA from 1 species